ACUGUUGCUUUGUGGAGCGGUGACACUGAUGACUAGGACAGUGUUGUCAGAGCUGUAGCAUAAAAAGAAGUCUCAGAGGAAUCCGUGUCCUUUUUCUUUCUGCUGCCUCCACAGUUCUGUUCUCUCCUUUCUGCAUGACCCUCAGCUGCACACAGCUUUAGAGAGUUUUACUCAGCAAAGACGUCUUUACCAACUGGUGCUGCAGACGAGUGCCUCGUGAUUGAACAACUGGAACCAACCACUCAUAAGUCAAGG